AGCUUACAUGACAGACCUGUAUAAAUUGUUCAACGACAUGAAUCUCCAACUGCAAGGCGAUAAACUAAAUUUAAUUAAAACAAAAAACGUCGUUGCUGCUUUCGCAGCCAAACUACUUCUACACAAAAAAAAUCUAGGCAGACGUGAGUUUCACAAUUUUCCGAACUGUUUGCCUACUGCCAACAUUUGGAAAACCUCCACAUUGGCUUCACCGAACGAUGCCAGGACAUUUUGAACUUGGCAAUUGGCUAAAUGAGUCACCGACCCCCCUCACAAUAUUACACACAAUAAUAAAACAAUUAAUAAAACAAAUAAAAAUAAAAUUUUUGUGAAGAAAAAACAAAAAAAAAAAGGAGGUGACUAAGCGAACAAAAACAGAAGGAAAAAAAAAAACCGUUGGUGGAAAAAAAAAAAAAAAAAAAAUGCAAAAUAAAAUAUAAAAUGUGAAAAAAUUUGUUUGGAAAAAAAAGUUUGGUUGUGGCAAAGUGAAAAAAAAGGCCGUUAGUGGAAAAAAAAAAAAUUUUUGUAAAGCAAAACCAUAAAACAACAGUGGUGUCAGUGAAAACCAAAAUCCGUUGGUGCCAAAACCAAGGUACCGGUAGUGCCAAAAACAAAAUAUAUACAUAUAUGUAAACGUAUAAAAUUAAAUUAAAAAGAAAAAUAAAAAGCUGUGACAAAAUCAUUAAAGAGAAGUGACAAUAAACUCGGUAGAAGAAGCAUUCAUACAUCUACAUACAAUCUUACACAUAGCAAUAAUUAAAGUGAACAAAAGUGCAAAAAGAAAAAAAAAAUUGGCGGAAAAUAGCACACAAGCACAUAUGUAUGUAUGUAUAUGUACAUAGUGAAGUGAGCUAAAAAACAAGUAAAGUGAGGUGAAAUUGGAGUGCGCAAAUUUACAUAAUAAAAAAUAUAUACAUACAUAUUUACAAGUAUUAACAAACGGGUUAGAGAAAUUAAAGCAAACACUUAAAACGGUCGCGAUAAACAAAAAAAAAAAAUAAUAUAAUCAAAGAAAACGGGCGCGAAACUAAACCAACAUAAAACAUAUAAACAAGUAUCAACGCGGGAACAAAACUAACAACACACCUGAACAUCUGGACAUCAGAGACUUGCACACUACCAACAAAGGAGACGAGCACAAAGUUAUAACAGCUGACCGCCGUUAGAAGAGAAGGCCAAGAACACCACACAACAGAGCAAAUACACUUAUAACCCCCACAAAAAAAGACCCUUGAAGCGCGUCAAAGUAAGUGUAUCGUUUUCAUUUUCAUUAUAUAUAUAUAUGUAUGUUUGUACUGGCAAAACCUAAAAAAACCGUUUAAACAGGUUUAAAAACGGAUGCCAAUAAAAAAAAAAAAAAAAAAAUAUAUAUACAUAUAUCGGUAUUAGACUUCCCCAGCCCUAUAACGGAGCAAACGGAAAAACCGAUAUACGGAAAAACCGAUAUACGAAAAAAAAACAAAGGAUUAAAACAUUAAAACAUAUGCACAUAUCAUUUUACUAAUAUUCUUGCUGCCUUUUCAUGCGAUUUUACAUUUGUGUACAUAUACACACAUAACACACUACAAAUAUACAAAUUCAAGUAUCCACUUGCACUACUCUCCCGCAAUACCCCUUCUGCUUCCUAAAGCAGUAAGCAGGAUUGCUUAUAAAAACGCAAGCUAAGGCAGAUCUAUAACAAAAGCGAAAAAUAAUAUAAAAAAAAAGAGAAGGAAUUAAUAUAAUACAGACAUACAUAUAUACACGUUCUAUUGGCACAUACGUGCUUAGAAACUAACAAAUAUUUAUAAUACAAACAUACAUAUAUACACAAAUUGGUACAUACAAAUUGAUACAAAUUACAUAUAUAAUAUACAUAGAAGCCUAAGCAUAAGUGCAGGCAGCAAAAAUAGCUGCGCUUUAUUGGCAUAUCUUCUCUCAACUCUCUUGAAAAUAUUGCGGAAAACCAACAAAGAUUACGCGGGUUAAUAUAAAAUUCACCACACAUAAAUAUCGCUUCAAAGUCCACUUUGGCAUCCAUCUCGCAAUACCCCUUGUUCUUUGACCGUCAAAAACAAGCAGGAUUGCAUAUAAAGCAAAAUACAAACAUAUACAUAUAUAAACAUAUGCAUGUACAAAGUGCAGUGAUCUCUGCUCGAGCUCUCACCAGCACAUAAGAUAAUUACGAAAGAUCCGCUUAUAGGAUACCCUAUAAGAAUUACGGGCACAAAAUAUUUAUAAAAGAUAAAAAAAAAAAAUAAUAAUAAUAAUAAUAAAUAAAUAUAUAUAUACAUAUACUUACAAAAAAUAUAUAUACAUAUAUAUACGCAUAUAGGAAACAUUUUCUGCUACGGUAAUUACAACCAAAUUAUAUACCAAAAUUAUACCAUAAUUGAAAUAAACGGGAAUUUACGUAUUUCAUUUGAAAAACUCUUAUUAACCAACAAGAGUUUCGGGUUUCGGCUUCACGUGCAAUUGAACGCGUUAUCGUGUAAAUUAAAUUCGUUAAAAACUCUUAUUUACGCAAAAGAGUUAACGUCAAAACACAUAAGUACAUAUACACAUAUAUACGAAAAUAUUUUGAAAAGUUUGGCUAUCAAAAAGCCAGUGGUUUUAGUGAUUCUCUUUGGAACUCUCGUAUACAAAAGAGUUUUCUAUUCUCUAUAUUAUUAUACAAAGCUGUUUCUGUAGAUCUACCAGUCUAGUUUACACUUAGACAUUUUUUAUUAUUUUAAAACAUUUUCUAAAUGAGCUCAGAUUCAAAAGAAUCUAAAGCAAUACAGUCACUAAAAGUUCCUAAAAUGAUUUCAGAAGAAAAGAGCCCUUGUACACCUGCUGAUGCUACACGCUCAAAGCAAGGUGCUACAAAGCAAAAAAGGCUGAAAGAUAUUUCAUAUACUAAGUUUAUUGCUGAGAGUGACAGUCUAAUUCGAUACUGCACUCGAUUUUCAACUUCACCGAUUCAAGACAAUUCUGAAUCGGUAUUAGAAAUCAAAAAAGAAAAUCUAAGCAAUUUCUGGACACGUCUCCAAGCUGCGUAUGACGCAAUUGUAGAAUCUGACGAAUCAGAUCUACCUGAAAAUUUCAAAUCUUCAGCAUACUCCAAAUAUGAACACUGCUUAGACCAGUACGAGGAAACGAGAGCUAUGAUCUCCGAUCAAUUGAGAUUAAUUAAAGCAAUUGCACCUACUCCACAACCGAGAGUAGAGCUGCCACAAAUUCAAAGCCAAGAGGCGAGUUCAGGCAUUCACCUUAAAGUGCCAGCAUGUGACACUGAAAUUUUUCAUGGUGGUUAUGAACAAUGGCCGUCCUUCCGGGACAUGUUCACAGCCGUUUACAUAAACCACCCAAAAUUAUCUAAUGCACAAAAAUUGUAUCACCUCCGAUACAAAACAAAAGGUCAAGCAGGGGUAUUAGUCAAACAGUUCGCUCUUAAUGACGAAAAUUUCAAUUAUGCUUGGGAAGCUCUAAAAGCUCGUUACGAAAACGAAAGAAUAUUAGUCGACAAACAAGUCACAAUAUUAAUGAAUUUACCAAAAAUUCAAAAAGAAACACGUGAAGAAUUUAUAAAACUUCAAUCCACUGUUUCAAAUUGCUUGUCGGUUCUAGCGACACAGAAUAUUCCCACAGACAAUUGGGACCCCAUUCUGGUAAAUAUAUGCACAUCCGCAUUACCAGAAAAAUCAUUACUUUUGUGGGAGCAAUCGCUCUCAUCACGAAGAAAGUGCCCAACGUGGCAACAAAUGAACGAUUUCUUAACUACCCAAUACGAAAUUGCGGAAAGGGUUGAUAAAAAAAUGGUCAGAACUAAAAACGUUCAACACGACCUAAAUCGAAGCUUCAUUAGACCCCAAGCGAGUAACAACAACAACUUAAAUCGUAGUUUUUUUAAAACACAAGCGUUCACAUCCGAACAAAAUAAACAAACGUCAUGCGAACUGUGUAAAGGAGGACACAGGCUGAAAUCUUGCGAGAAAUUUAAAAAACUAAAUAUCAACGAAAGAAACAAUUUCGUAAGAACGAAAAAACUUUGUACCAACUGUUUGUCACAUGCGCAUGCGCUCAAAGAUUGCGAAAGCAAAUUUAAUUGCGUUUAUUGUCAUAAACGACACCAUUCGAUGCUUCAUAUAAAUAACUUUUCCAGCUUACCCCCAAACAGCGCAAAUAUCAAAAGAGCAACAGGAUUAGUUGCAACAACAAAUUCUGAAAACUGCCAAGAAGCACCAUGCUGCUCAAAGGCAUUAAAAACCCAAUCGCUACAUAGCGAAAAUCAAAGUAGGGUACUACUACCCACAGCAGUCGUCUCCAUCGAACACCGAGGAGAACUGUUUAAGCUCAGAGCCCUAAUAGACCAAGGAUCACAACGAUCUUUCAUAGCGUCUAGGGCACAAAAUAGGCUAAAUCUGCCAAUAAGACAAGCCAACUUUGAAUUUACGGGAAUGGGCGGAAGAGUAGUUCAAAACUCUAAUAAAAUAUGCCCCAUUACCCUAUUUUCCCCCCAAGCGGAUAUAAGAAUACAAGCAGAAGCUAUAGUCUUACCGCAGUUAACCAAUAUGCUACCAAGCUAUCACAUAAAUAGCAAGCAUUGGGAAAAGGUUUCACACCUUAAGUUAGCAGAUCCCAAUUGCAACACCCCCGCUCAAAUAGACCUUCUAUUAGGCAGCGAUCUUAUACCACAAAUAAUGCUCGAAGGUAUUGAGAAAAUUUCAAACACACUUUUGGCACAAAAGACUAUUUUCGGUUGGAUCCUAAGUGGACUAGUUACGGAACCAGUCACAACAAUGACAACUCAAGUUGAGGAAAUCUCAAACGAGUACCUCAAUUCACAAUUGAGAAAAUUUUGGGAGAUAGAAGAACUCCCCCCCAUUUCAAUCACAACCCCCGAAGAUCAGUAUUGUGAAGACUUUUACAAAGCCACAACUACUAGAUCAGAUAAUGGUCGGUAUGUCGUACGACUACCACUAAAACAACAAUUUCCCAACACAAUCGCCUUAGGUCAUUCUCGCACCUCUGCAAUACAGCAGUUUCAAAGUAUGGAAAGAAACCUACUUAAAAAAGGUGAACUCAAACCAGAAUAUGAUGGUGUGUUGGAAGAAUACCUCCAUUUAGAUCACAUGGAGGAAGUAAGCCCAUGCGAAAAAAUUAUCAAUGGCAAAUACUACUCAUUUUACUUGCCACAUCAUGCAGUAGUAAAGCCAGAUAAAAAAACAACUAAAGUAAGAGUUGUUUUCAACGCCUCAAGAUCCACUAGCUCGGGGAAUUCCCUAAACGAUAUCCUGUUUACGGGACCCACGCUCCAACCUGAUUUAAUGCUGCUGAUUCUAAACUGGCGUACAUUCAAAUACGUAUUUAACGGGGACGUCGAAAAAAUGUAUAGACAAAUAGUCGUACAUAAAGACGAUCAAGAUUUUCAGCGAAUUAUUUUCCGAAAAUCCCCCAAUAGUCCACUACGCGACUUCAAGCUAAAAACAGUGACCUUUGGCGUUAACUGUGCCCCAUACUUAGCCAUUCGAACACUCCAUGAAUUGGCUGAAAACACCAAGUCAGAAUUUCCUCUGGCGACCCAGGUGUUAAAAACACAAACGUAUGUAGACGAUAUUCUGUCUGGAAGUCACAGUCUUCCACAAGCAUACGAAUCAUUAUCACAAGUAAUCCAAGCCCUCAAAUCCGCAGGGUUUCCAUUAAAAAAGAUUACCGCAAAUCACCCAACUAUAUUAAAAAAUAUACCAAAAGAAAAUAUGUUGGACACUAAUUUCCUUAUUUUCGAAAAGGAAAGUACAACAAAAACUCUGGGCAUCCAGUGGAAUGCGAUAUCGGACAAGUUUUCAUACACAACUGAGUCCAUAUCCGCAUUAUCCGCCAUUACGAAACGCCAAAUCCUCUCCUCUGUGGCAAAACUUUUUGACCCCGCAGGAUGGCUUUCGCCAAUUAUGAUACAAGCGAAAAUCCUGAUCCAAGAAUUAUGGCUAGACGGAACUGACUGGGACGAACAAGUGAAACCUCUUCGCUUGGAAAGAUGGUCCCAGUUCGCUAAUAAUCUGACCGACAUUUCGCAGAUACAAAUUCCACGGUGGGUAAACUAUUCCCCCGAAUACAAAGUGGAACUACACGGCUUCUGCGACGCCUCUGAAAAGGCCUAUUGUGCCACUAUAUAUGUGCGCACACAAAGCGAUAUUGCAACUACAAGCCACCUACUAGUGGCAAAAGCUAAAAUUGCGCCUCUAAAAACCAUAAGUCUACCACGACUUGAACUCUGUGGCGCUCUGCUACUAGCAAAGCUAGUUUCCAUGGUGCAGACCCACUUAAACAUGGCGAAAUACAAAUUAUAUCUAUGGUCUGAUUCCGAAAUAGUUCUAGCCUGGUUAGAAAAGCCACCACACGCGUGGAAAACCUAUAUUUCUAAUCGAACGGCGCAAAUUCUUGACCUAGUGGGAUCAGCCACUUGGCGACACGUAACCAGUGCUGACAAUCCUGCAGAUCUAGGUACAAGAGGGUGCAAACCCCUGCACCUUGCCACCACCACCCUUUGGUGGAAUGGCCCCCGAUGGUUAACAGAAUCUCCCGAUUCUUGGCCACAAUCGCCCAUGCGCAAUAUUAUUGCCACAGAAAGUCGAAAGAUCAACUCCUUUCACGCAGCGUUGGAUGAUACUGACAUCCUGGAGAGAUUUUCAUCUUACCCCCGAGCCCUCAGGGUAAUCGCUUAUAUGCUUAAAUUCAUAGAGCCACUCAAACUUAGCCUUAAAGGAAUACGCACAGUAUAUCCCCAAGGCGAUACAGUGACGCACCUAGACUUACAAAAAGCAAAGGUCGCUCUUAUCGCAUCUACUCAAGCGCGCUACUUCAGCCAAGAGAUAUCAGUACUGAGAGAAUCGAAGCCGAUUGAUAAAAAGAGCUCACUCCUAGUACUAAAUCCAUUCAUAGAUACGAAGGGCCUACUUCGGGCAAAUGGUCGGCUUGUCAAUUCAAGCCUAACGUACAACGAACGUCAUCCCAUUGUUAUACCAGAGAGAUCGCAACUUGCCUCAUUAUAUAUCAAUUAUGUCCACGUACUAUUAUUACACGCUGAACACCGCCUCAUGCAACAAAUAGUCCGCCAAGAGUUUUAUAUCCCAAGACUCAAGCCAAAAAUAAAGAAAUGCAUUUUUUCGUGCAAGAUAUGUACUGUGCAUAAGCAAAAGAUGCGAACACAGAUUAUGGCAGCACUUCCACCGGAACGCUGCAACUUUGCUCCGCCCUUCACUAUCACAGGUGUCGAUUUUGCGGGGCCUUUUCAAAUAAAGGCAUCCAUGCUAAGGUCUCCCACACUGAUGAAAGGCUACGUGGCUGUCUUUGUCUGUUUUACGACAAAAGCAGUACACCUCGAGCUAUGUAGUAAUCUGACAAAAGAGGCUUUCCUCGCGGCAUUUGCUCGCUUCGUCGGACGACGUGGUUUUCCGUCAAAGCUCAUGAGCGACAACGGCAAGACAUUUAUAGGCGCUCAAAGAGCCACCGAAAAACAGUUUGUGGACUUUAUCAAACAAGUUUCCCCUGAGAUUGUACAAAAGUACGCUCCGCAAGGCAUUAACUGGCAGUUCAUCCCUCCAAGCGCUCCUCAUAUGGGUGGUUUAUGGGAAUCAGCGGUAAAAAGCUUUAAAUCCCACUUUAAAAAAGUAGCUGGAAACUACAAAUUUAACUUUGAAGAAUUUACAACAUUAUUAAUUCGUAUUGAAGCCGUUCUCAAUUCACGGCCAUUGUCUACACUCUCGCAAGAUCCCUCAGAUCUAACAGCUCUUACACCAGGGCACUUUCUCAAAGGAGCACCCAUUCUGGCCAUACCUGAGCCAGGCGUGGAGUCGCUAUCCUUACUAAACAGAUGGGAAAGAAUUAAAAUUCUCCAUCAUAAUUUCAGCCGCCGAUGGAAGGAGGAGUAUAUAAAGGACCUUCACAAAAGGUACCGCUGGAAAACUCCCGAAAAGGCGCCAAAGCUUGGAGAUUUGGUUCUAAUACAUGACGACUGUCUCCCCCCCACAGAAUGGCGACUUGGCCGCAUAGAAAAGCUACAUCACGGCUCCGACGGUCACAUACGAGUAGUUGACCUUCGUACUCAAAACGGAAUUCUAACGAGACCGCUCGUUAAACUAUGCGUCUUACCAAUCGCCGAUAACACCGAAAAAAUACAUAAUAAACAAUCCGUUUAAUAACUAAAACCGAAAUAAACCGCAAACCACAAACCGAUGUUCCCGCUAUACAAUUAACUAAUUAAAUAAAACGUUAAAAAAAAAACGAGAAACACGCUAAUACCAACCGUAAAAUAAUAUUCCGUAAGCAAUUAACUAAGAAAACUAAUCCCAAUGGUCGAUCAUUACGACGACCCAUUCAUGCCACAUACCGUGGCACGAUUGCUCAUAUCUAAUCAUGACCGAUUUAUAACUAACAAUCUCCUUUAUACAUAGUAGAUUACCAUGGACCUCGAUACGCCAGUGUUAGCCCCGCCAACCGUUCGGUCGGCUACCAGCGUGCAACGCACCGGGCCUACCCCAACGCCCCGAGCUGCAGUUGGAACAGCACCGGCAACCGCACCGGCAACAGGCAAUCGUUCAUCACGGGUCUCGGACGGGAAUCGUAUAAGAUGCCCCCUAUGCCGCCGCCCACAUCGCCUGCACCACUGUGGGAUCUUCAGGGAGAUGCGGUCGUUACAACGACAGCAAGUGGCCCAGGCACAUGGGCACUGUUUAAACUGCCUAUCGCCGACGCAUCGGCUUCAAGAGUGCGAGUCGAGGGGUUUGUGCCAAGUCUGCAGCAGACCACAUCACACGCUGCUUCACCGCACCACGAGGCGCAAUGUGAAUCGGCCACCGAUACCUCGCAGCCACGCAACAAGGCAUCAAUCCGGAAGUCGAGCCUUGCGUCAGCGGGUUGGAACAUCGAUUCGGCGUCGACAGCCUAGGCCCCAGCCACGACGAUCGGUGGGUCUUAGCAGCGUCGUGGCAACGCUGCAACAGCUGCAGCAACUCCUAUGCUAAUCAAUUGCCUAGGGGGGCCAGGAUGGCUAAAUGAGUCACCGACCCCCCUCACAAUAUUACACACCCACACCUCACACAUUACAUACACCACAUCGUCAUUCCAUUCCCAUAUCCUAAUUACACACCACAUCAUCAUUACAUUCCACAUCACACUCUCACAAAUACUACAACAUCACGACUUCAACAUACCAAAAAAAGGGAACAAAAGGGCGGACGGACAAGGCUCCAGCCUCUUUCGCAUGAUCGCUACGAACGCGCAAGCAUCGCCACGUUCUUUCCGCCGAGACACUCGCCUUUUUCGUUCCGCCUUUUUGAACGCAUUAUUCUCGUGUAAGGGAUGGAACAACAGAUGUCACACGUACAUUUCAUUUUGGAGAGCCCACAGAUGUCCAAAAAGAAGCUUAUACCCGGGUUUUAAAAGGACAAUUAGCAUUUGGCUCCACAAUUUUUCCCUCACGGGUUAAAGGUCAAAUGC